rnacentral:rRNA from 1 species
CUUGACAUCCAGAGAACUUAGCAGAGAUGCUUUGGUGCCUUCGGGAACUCUGAGACAGGUGCUGCAUGGCUGUCGUCAGCUCGUGUUGUGAAAUGUUGGGUUAACGUCCGCAACGAGCGCAACCCUUAUCCUUUGUUGCCAGCGGUUCGGCCGGGAACUCAAAGGAGACUGCCAGUGAUAAACUGGAGGAAGGUGGGGAUGACGUCAAGUCAUCAUGGCCCUUACGAGUAGGGCUACACACGUGCUACAAUGGCGUAUACAAAGAGAAGCGACCUCGCGAGAGCAAGCGGACCUCAUAAAGUACGUCGUAGUCCGGAUUGGAGUCUGCAACUCGACUCCAUGAAGUCGGAAUCGCUAGUAAUCGUAGAUCAGAAUGCUACGGUGAAUACGUUCCCGGGCCUUGUACACACCGCCCGUCACACCAUGGGAGUGGGUUGCAAAAGAAGUAGGUAGCUUAACCUUCGGGAGGGCGCUUACCACUUUGUGAUUCAUGACUGGGGUGAAGUCGUAACAAGGUAGGCGUAGACGU